CAUAAGUGGUUAGGGUUCCUUUAUUUUACGGGGAAGUAUUUUCCAAAACAAAAUAAAUGAGAUGGGUUUUUAGGGAAAAUAAUUUUAUUUCUGUAAGAUAUUUUCUGAAAAAUCUUUGUCCACUCUCACCAUAUUCUUUCUCCUUCUUCUGUUCUUCAUCUUCCUUCUCCUUUUCAUCCAGUUCCCUUCUUGAAUCUCAAUCAAGCUGGUUAAACAUGCCGAGUUUUGGGUAAAGGAGCUGGCUCUUAGUAACACAAUGGGUAAGGGCAACAAAGAAGUGACCUUCAAGCAAUUCAGGUGGACAAAAUUGAUGGAACAUUUUUUUCUUGAAAUUCUAGCAAAGAAGGCCUAGAAAGUAAAUAAGCUUUCUAAAACACUUUCAAAGCAGUUUCUAUUAGUCGAGUUGCCGAAGCUAUUUCUGAAAGGUUUCAAGUCCAAUGCGAUGCAAAACAUGUAGAAAAUUAUUUGAGGACUGUAAAAAACCAGUGAGAGAUUAUAUGCACAAUUUAAGGUGAAAGUGGAUUUGGAUGGGAUGAUAAUAUGAAAAUGAUCACAUGUGAUAGAGCGACAUAUGAUUCAACAGUGAUGGUAAUAUAUAUAUGUUAAGUAUAUUUCAAUUGUGUUUUACUUGUUAUUCUAAUUGUGUAUAAUAUUCAACAGGCACAUAAGAAGUAUGAACUAUUUUUGAAUAAAAGCAUUGCUCAUUAUGAUGAAA